rnacentral:miRNA from 2 species
CGGAUGAGCAAAGAAAGUGGUU